rnacentral:rRNA from 1 species
AUUGAACGCUGGCGGAAUGCUUUACACAUGCAAGUCGAACGGCAGCACGGGGGCAGCCCUGGUUGCGAGUGGCGAACGGGUGAGUAAUACAUCGGAACGUGCCCGGUCGUGGGGGAUAACGUAGCGAAAGUUACGCUAAUACCGCAUACGAUCUGAGGAUGAAAGCGGGGGACCUUCGGGCCUCGCGCGAUCGGAGCGGCCGAUGUCGGAUUAGGUAGUUGGUGGGGUAAAGGCCUACCAAGCCGACGAUCUGUAGCUGGUCUGGGAGGACGACCGGCCACAUGGGAACUGAGACACGGCCCAGACUCCUACGGGAGGCAGCAGUGGGGAAUUUUGGACAAUGGGCGCAAGCCUGAUCCAGCCAUCCCGCGUGCAGGACGAAGGCCUUCGGGUUGUAAACUGCUUUUGUACGGAACGAAAAGGCUCUGGCUAAUACCUGGGGCUCAUGACGGUACCGGAAGAAUAAGCACCGGCUAACUACGUG